rnacentral:lncRNA from 1 species
GUUGAAUCCAGGAAACUUUACCACUAAGCUAUAUCCCCUUCCCUUUUCACUUUUUUUUAUUUUGAGAUAGGGUCUUACUAAGUUACUUAGGGUCUCACUAAAUUGCUGAGGCUGGCCUUGAACUUGCAAUCCUACUGCCUCAACCUGGUAUUACAGGUGUGUGUCAUCAUAACAGUUGUUCAUUUAUGUUUUUAAAAGAUAUUUUUUAUGUUUAAAAGAGAAUUUGAGAAACAUGACAAAAUGCUUCAUUGACUACUUUUCACAAUAAAAUAUGCAACAUAUUGUUUUUCAAGCACACACUGAGGUACUCUAACAACAGAUGCAAAAGCAUAACAGUUAUGAGCAGACAAACCAUAUCCAUAAAGAAAUAGGUCAAGCCAGGAAUAGUGGAGCAUACCUGUAAUCCCAGAUACUUGGGAGGUUACGUAGGACGAUAACAAGUUUGAGGCCAGACUCAGCAACUGGGAAAUCUUUUCUCAAAAUAAAGCAUAAAAAGGGCUGAGAAUGAUGCUCAGUGGUAGAGCACCCCUAGGUUCCAGCCCCAGUACCAGAGAGGAUAAAGAAAAAAAAAGGCAAAAAUAGGUCACAAAGUGAUAAAUACAAAAUCACAAAGAGAAGUAAUGUUGUGCACCUAGCUUAAUAAAUGCCAUCAUCAAAUUCAGUGAAAGACACCCUACAUCUUUUGAGGAGACAUUAAAAAACAUGAUGGGUCAAUAUCACACAACCAAUUGCUCCAAGAUUGGAGAUUGAGAAAUUUUUAUCUGUCACCAAGGUAGAUAUAGAAAAAAGGACAUUUCUUAAUUUACAAAAGAAUUUUCAAUUUUUUAAAUGUAAAGUCACAAUGCUUCCACACUAAGUCAACAUUGUAAUAAUGUACUUUUGCAGAAUCAAAUUUGCACAGAACAGCAUAAAACAAAUUAUAAUUCAUCUAGAAGUAUUUACACUAUUUAUAACUCCAGUAUGGAAGUAAUAUGAAGAUGAAAUACAGAACAGCAAAUUAUAAGAAAUAAUGUUGACAAAAAUUGUGGUAAAAACCUGAAAAAUUCAACAGGAAGAGAUUACGGGAAAUUACACAGCAGUAGUCUAUAAGUACUGACCAACUUCCAAGAUCAUUAACAAUGUUUUGAAGCCUUGCAUUGAGAUAAAUAGCUGUUUUUUCUUAAGGCAUGCUCUCCUUGAAGAAUACAUCCACACUCAUUUUCUAGUGAUGCUUCUCUUUUUGAAAUUUUUCUAUGAUUCAAUAGAGAGCAAAAUAAGCAUUAAAAUUUCCCAUUUUCUGCAUCAUGCUUAUAUGUUGUUUUGGGUGCAUAGAAAUCCAUUUUGCAUGCCUUCAUAUAUAGACCACAAGUUUGGCAGAAAAAUACUGAUAUGCAACAUCAUUGCAUAUCUUUUUUUCCCCACUGUUAUAGUACUGGAGAUUGAACCCACAGCUGUUCUACUACUGAGCUAUAUCCCCAGCCUUUUUUAUGUUUUAAUUUGAGACAGGACCUCAUGAAAUUGGAGAGGCAGGCCUUGAACUUGUUAUCCUCUUGCCUCAGUUUCUGGAAUAGCUGGAUUUAUAGGCAUGCACCACUGCACCCAGCCAUCCUUGCAUUAUCUUCUUUUCCCACGUGCACAUUAUUAUUUUGGAAUAAGUGACUUUGUUGGCCUCUUCAGGCAAAUAUGGUUUCAAUCCAUUAGAAAAUCCUGGACGUUUUCAUCCUUGCUGAAUCUCAUGAUCAACACACUCAUUUGAGUAUUCCCACAUUGUGGUGAGCCACUUCUGCUGUUUCUGCAGACUAUGGUUGCCAUUACAACAUGGCGCUGGCUCCGCUGUGGUCUGUGACAAACAACUCCUUAUCUAGGAAAGUUGGCACAUGAUUUUUCACCACCCUGUGAGAAAGCUCCACGCGGCAGCUUUGCAUUGGGGCUUGGGAUGCUUUAUUAAGGCUGGGAGGGGCAUCCGAGAGGGAGAAGAAGAAAUAUCAAGGGCCUGAAUAAACUGCUGAAAGAAGAUUCCUGAGU